rnacentral:rRNA from 1 species
AGUGAACGCUGGCGGUAGGCCUAACACAUGCAAGUCGAACGGCAGCACAGUAAGAGCUUGCUCUUACGGGUGGCGAGUGGCGGACGGGUGAGGAAUACAUCGGAAUCUACUUUUUCGUGGGGGAUAACGUAGGGAAACUUACGCUAAUACCGCAUACGACCUACGGGUGAAAGCAGGGGAUCUUCGGACCUUGCGCGAUCGAAUGAGCCGAUGUCGGAUUAGCUAGUUGGCGGGGUAAAGGCCCACCAAGGCGACGAUCCGUAGCUGGUCUGAGAGGAUGAUCAGCCACACUGGAACUGAGACACGGUCCAGACUCCUACGGGAGGCAGCAGUGGGGAAUAUUGGACAAUGGGCGAAAGCCUGAUCCAGCCAUACCGCGUGGGUGAAGAAGGCCUUCGGGUUGUAAAGCCCUUUUGUUGGGAAAGAAAAGCAGCAGGUUAAUACCCCGCUGUUCUGACGGUACCCAAAGAAUAAGCACCGGCUAACUUCGUG